AGUGAACGCUGGCGGUAGGCCUAACACAUGCAAGUCGAACGGCAGCACAGUAAGAGCUUGCUCUUACGGGUGGCGAGUGGCGGACGGGUGAGGAAUACAUCGGAAUCUACUUUUUCGUGGGGGAUAACGUAGGGAAACUUACGCUAAUACCGCAUACGCCCUACGGGUGAAAGCAGGGGAUCUUCGGACCUUGCGCGAUUGUAUGAGCCGAUGUCGGAUUAGCUAGUUGGCGGGGUAAAGGCCCACCAAGGCGACGAUCCGUAGCUGGUCUGAGAGGAUGAUCAGCCACACUGGAACUGAGACACGGUCCAGACUCCUACGGGAGGCAGCAGUGGGGAAUAUUGGACAAUGGGCGCAAGCCUGAUCCAGCCAUACCGCGUGGGUGAAGAAGGCCUUCGGGUUGUAAAGCCCUUUUGUUGGGAAAGAAAAGCAGCAGGUUAAUACCCCGCUGUUCUGACGGUACCCAAAGAAUAAGCACCGGCUAACUUCGUG
rnacentral:rRNA from 1 species